GGACCCUAGGUCAGGCAUGGUCACCCGCUGAGUUUAAGCAUAUAUA
rnacentral:rRNA from 1 species